GUUAAGCGACUAAGCGUACACGGUGGAUGCCCUGGCAGUCAGAGGCGAUGAAGGACGUGCUAAUCUGCGAUAAGCGUCGGUAAGGUGAUAUGAACCGUUAUAACCGGCGAUUUCCGAAUGGGGAAACCCAGUGUGAUUCGUCACACUAUCAUUAACUGAAUCCAUAGGUUAAUGAGGCGAACCGGGGGAACUGAAACAUCUAAGUACCCCGAGGAAAAGAAAUCAACCGAGAUUCCCCCAGUAGCGGCGAGCGAACGGGGAGGAGCCCAGAGCCUGAAUCAGUGUGUGUGUUAGUGGAAGCGUCUGGAAAGGCGCGCGAUACAGGGUGACAGCCCCGUACACAAAAAUGCACAUACUGUGAGCUCGAUGAGUAGGGCGGGACACGUGGUAUCCUGUCUGAAUAUGGGGGGACCAUCCUCCAAGGCUAAAUACUCCUGACUGACCGAUAGUGAACCAGUACCGUGAGGGAAAGGCGAAAAGAACCCCGGCGAGGGGAGUGAAAAAGAACCUGAAACCGUGUACGUACAAGCAGUGGGAGCACGCUUCGGCGUGUGACUGCGUACCUUUUGUAUAAUGGGUCAGCGACUUAUAUUCUGUAGCAAGGUUAACCGAAUAGGGGAGCCGAAGGGAAACCGAGUCUUAACUGGGCGUUAAGUUGCAGGGUAUAGACCCGAAACCCGGUGAUCUAGCCAUGGGCAGGUUGAAGGUUGGGUAACACUAACUGGAGGACCGAACCGACUAAUGUUGAAAAAUUAGCGGAUGACUUGUGGCUGGGGGUGAAAGGCCAAUCAAACCGGGAGAUAGCUGGUUCUCCCCGAAAGCUAUUUAGGUAGCGCCUCGUGAAUUCAUCUCCGGGGGUAGAGCACUGUUUCGGCAAGGGGGUCAUCCCGACUUACCAACCCGAUGCAAACUGCGAAUACCGGAGAAUGUUAUCACGGGAGACACACGGCGGGUGCUAACGUCCGUCGUGAAGAGGGAAACAACCCAGACCGCCAGCUAAGGUCCCAAAGUCAUGGUUAAGUGGGAAACGAUGUGGGAAGGCCCAGACAGCCAGGAUGUUGGCUUAGAAGCAGCCAUCAUUUAAAGAAAGCGUAAUAGCUCACUGGUCGAGUCGGCCUGCGCGGAAGAUGUAACGGGGCUAAACCAUGCACCGAAGCUGCGGCAGCGACACUAUGUGUUGUUGGGUAGGGGAGCGUUCUGUAAGCCUGUGAAGGUGUACUGUGAGGUAUGCUGGAGGUAUCAGAAGUGCGAAUGCUGACAUAAGUAACGAUAAAGCGGGUGAAAAGCCCGCUCGCCGGAAGACCAAGGGUUCCUGUCCAACGUUAAUCGGGGCAGGGUGAGUCGACCCCUAAGGCGAGGCCGAAAGGCGUAGUCGAUGGGAAACAGGUUAAUAUUCCUGUACUUGGUGUUACUGCGAAGGGGGGACGGAGAAGGCUAUGUUGGCCGGGCGACGGUUGUCCCGGUUUAAGCGUGUAGGCUGGUUUUCCAGGCAAAUCCGGAAAAUCAAGGCUGAGGCGUGAUGACGAGGCACUACGGUGCUGAAGCAACAAAUGCCCUGCUUCCAGGAAAAGCCUCUAAGCAUCAGGUAACAUCAAAUCGUACCCCAAACCGACACAGGUGGUCAGGUAGAGAAUACCAAGGCGCUUGAGAGAACUCGGGUGAAGGAACUAGGCAAAAUGGUGCCGUAACUUCGGGAGAAGGCACGCUGAUAUGUAGGUGAAGCGACUUGCUCGUGGAGCUGAAAUCAGUCGAAGAUACCA
rnacentral:rRNA from 1 species